UGUGAAAAGCCAUAUCAGAAUCUG
rnacentral:piRNA from 1 species